rnacentral:rRNA from 1 species
UAAGGAAUAUUGGUCAAUGGACGGAAGUCUGAACCAGCCAUGCCGCGUGCAGGAGGACGGCCCUAUGGGUUGUAAACUGCUUUUGUACGGGAACAAACGUCGGUACGAGUACCGGUCUGAGUGUACCGUAAGAAUAAGGAUCGGCUAACUCCGUGCCAGCAGCCGCGGUAAUACGGAGGAUCCGAGCGUUAUCCGGAAUUAUUGGGUUUAAAGGGUGCGUAGGCGGCCGAAUAAGUCAGGGGUGAAAGGCGUCAGCUCAACUGUCGCAGUGCCUUUGAUACUGUUUGGCUUGAAUGUGGUUGAAGAUGGCGGAAUGAGACAAGUAGCGGUGAAAUGCAUAGAUAUGUCUCAGAACACCGAUUGCGAAGGCAGCUAUCUAAGCCGUUAUUGACGCUGAUGCACGAAAGCGUGGGGAGCAAACAGGAUUAGAUACCC